CCUACGGGUGGCAGCAGUAAGGGAUAUUGGUCAAUGGGGGAAACCCUGAACCAGCAACGCCGCGUGAGGGAAGACGGUUUUCGGAUUGUAAACCUCUGUCCUCUGUGAAGAUGAUGACGGUAGCAGAGUUGGAAGCUCCGGCUAACUACUUGCAAGCAGCCGCGGUAAUACGUAGGGGGCGAGCGGUGUCCGGAUUUACUGGGUGUAAAGGGUGCGUAGGCGGCAUGGCAAGUCAGUAGUGAAAUCUAUGGGCCUAACCCAUGAACUGGUAUUGAAACUGUCGAGCUUGAGGGAAGUAGAGGUAGGCGGAAAUCCCGGUGUAGGGGUGAAAUGCGUA
rnacentral:rRNA from 1 species